rnacentral:rRNA from 1 species
GAUCAGUGGCUCAGGAUGAACGCUAGCGACAGGCUUAACACAUGCAAGUCGGAGGGGCAGCACAGGGUAGCAAUACUUGGGUGGCGACCGGCGCACGGGUGAGUAACGCGUAUGCAACUUACCUAUCAGAGGGGAUAGCCCGGCGAAAGUCGGAUUAAUACCCAUGAAACAGGGGUCCCGCAUGGGAAUAUUUGUUAAAGNUUCAUCGCUGAUAGAUAGGCAUGCGUUCCAUUAGG